UGACCUCGGAUCAGGUAGGAAUACCCGCUGAACUUAAGCAUAUCAAUAAGCGGAGGAAAAGAAACCAACAGGGAUUGCCUCAGUAACGGCGAGUGAAGCGGCAACAGCUCAAAUUUGAAAUCUGGUCCCCCGGGGCCCGAGUUGUAAUUUGCAGAGGAUGCUUUUGGCGCGGUGCCUUCCGAGUUCCCUGGAACGGGACGCCACAGAGGGUGAGAGCCCCGUCUGGUCGGACACCAAGCCUCUGUAAAGCUCCUUCGACGAGUCGAGUAGUUUGGGAAUGCUGCUCAAAAUGGGAGGUAUAUGUCUUCUAAAGCUAAAUACCGGCCAGAGACCGAUAGCGCACAAGUAGAGUGAUCGAAAGAUGAAAAGCACUUUGGAAAGAGAGUUAAACAGCACGUGAAAUUGUUAAAAGGGAAGCGUUCAUGACCAGACUUGGGCCCGGCUGAUCACCCAGCGUUCUCGCUGGUGCACUCUGCCGGCCCAGGCCAGCAUCAGUUCGCCUCGGGGGAUAAAGGCGUCGGGAAUGUGGCUCCUCGGAGUGUUAUAGCCCGUCGCGCAAUACCCUGGGGCGGACUGAGGUUCGCGCACUGCAAGGAUGCUGGCGUAAUGGUCAUCAACGACCCGUCU
rnacentral:rRNA from 1 species